AUUGAACGCUGGCGGCAUGCUUUACACAUGCAAGUCGAACGGCAGCACGGGGGCAACCCUGGUGGCGAGUGGCGAACGGGUGAGUAAUGCAUCGGAACGUGCCCUGUCGUGGGGGAUAACACAUCGAAAGAUGUGCUAAUACCGCAUACGACCUGAGGGUGAAAGCGGGGGACCGUAAGGCCUCGCGCGAUAGGAGCGGCCGAUGUCUGAUUAGCUAGUUGGUGGGGUAAAGGCCUACCAAGGCGACGAUCAGUAGCUGGUCUGAGAGGACGACCAGCCACCCUGGGACUGAGACACGGCCCAGACUCCUACGGGAGGCAGCAGUGGGGAAUUUUGGACAAUGGGGGCAACCCUGAUCCAGCCAUGCCGCGUGCGGGAAGAAGGCCUUCGGGUUGUAAACCGCUUUUGGCAGGAACGAAACGGUGCGGGCGAAUACCCUGUGCUAAUGACGGUACCUGCAGAAUAAGCACCGGCUAACUACGUGCCAGCCGCCGCCGUAAUAC
rnacentral:rRNA from 1 species